GUCAGCGGGUCGAGUCGGUGACACCGGAGCGGGCUGGCAGAGCGCUUCUGGAGCAGCCCAGGCCAAGGCGCACAGAGGCGCGGCAAGAUGAACUCACUGCCCUGGGAACCGGCUAGCUCGUUGGCAAGAAAUUUUUUUCGGGGUAUCAGACAGUUAUUCCCGCCUACAUAGAUGACCACUCGGGGGGCAUGGUGAUUUAGCGGGGAGUUCUUGUCUUGUUGGUCUCGACAACUUCCCGGAGUGCUAUUUCUCGGUCGACGGGUUACGGGAAUGACUGCCCGGCACCCCAAGAUAAUUGCUGGUCCACCGUCCGACCAACCGACGAGCUGACAUGUCUCAAGGUAGCCCGCAGGUCUACAGAAGGAUUCACUGGCCAGCAAGAAUCCCAGUUGCGGAUGAAUUGGAGUACCGAUAUAUCCCAACAAAUAUCAAAUGUGACAUCAUCAUGAAAGCAAAAAAAGAAAGAGAAAUCAAUGAAAUAGCAAUAUUCAGGUAACGGAUAUGAUACAAAACACACCAAAUAAAUGAAAACACCCAUACAAAACAUCACUUCCAUCACACAGUAAGGCUAAGUAAAAGUAAGGCCAGCAUCAUGUAGUCACGGUCAGUCUGAGUUAAAUGUCCACCGUACCGUGCCCAAUGUAAGGAAAAUCUCAUCUCUGCAUCUUUUAUACUUGACAUAUCAAAAACAGUUUUCAAAACGGCAUCUAUAUGAACCAGUGUCAAUUACAGGGCCAGGCGUAACAUUACUCAUUAUACGAAAGCCUAUCUAAAACAACAACAAGCAGCUGUGACAUUUUGGUCUAAAUUAACAUGCAGAAAGUUAAUAUGAAAUAUCUUUAAAAAGCUGUAAUAUAGAGUUUAAUAGUGUGCACAAACAAACUCUAACCUUGUGGCUAUUCCAUGCCCCAAGAUUAGAGUUCCUCUCUUCUUUAUGUAAAGACCGGUCCCGCAAAAUGUAGGCAAAAAAGAAUUCCCUAGGGAAUGCAUGCGUGGAAUUUUUAGAAUUCCUGGCAACUCAAUCGCAGUACUAUAAGAACGGCUCCGCCCCUGAGGCGUCGCCAAAAAAAAGUACAA